GAUCUUAUUUUAUUGAAAAGGAAAACUCUAUUCAGACUAAAAGAAAAGAUCAGGUAGGCCAUAAAACCAUAAACGAACCUUAAGGAUUAUUAGGAUAUUGGUGUAAUAAAAACCAUGUGUGCAGUGUCGGGACCUUUUGAAGAACUUCAGAUACCUGUGUAAACAUAUGCGAUGCUAUAAAAAGGGUAACAUUCCGAUGUGCUAGAUUAAGUUUCUGUAUGCAUAGUUCCCACUACCGAAACCAUAGGCUGUACCUGUCGGUGGACUAUGGGGUGGAUCCUUAUGCUAUUGAUAACUACAAGGAUUGGAAUCAUGUCAACCAGAGUGCACUGUUUUUUUUGUAGCCCCCACUUCACCGGCCUGUAUUUCUACGAAUUUUUUAUUUUUUUUCACGAUUUUUUUUUGUAUUCUUAAAAUGUUAAUAAACAUCAUAUAAAAAAUG